rnacentral:rRNA from 1 species
GAUGAACGCUGGCGGCAGGCCUAACACAUGCAAGUCGAGCGGAGCGGCGGUCGGGUGAGUAAUGCCUAGGAGUAUGCCCGGUAGUGGGGGAUGAGGUCCGGAAACGGGCCCUAAUACCGCAUAGUAUCUGAUGACCCUCGGUCGGAGUUGCUAGUUGGUGGGGUAAAGGCAUACCAAGGCGACGUUCCGUAACUGCUCUGAGAGGAUGAUCAGUCACACUGGAACUGAGACACGGUCCAGACUCCUACGGGAGGCAGCAGUGGGGAAUAUUCGGCAAUGGACGAAAGCCUGACCCAGCCAUGCCGCGUGAGUGAAGAAGGUCUUCGGAUCGUAAACCACUUUAAGUAGGGAAGCGUUACCUACACAAAAAGCCACGGCUAACUUCGUGCCAGCAGCCGCGGUAAUUC